rnacentral:rRNA from 1 species
ACACGAGUGGCGAACGGGUGAGUAACACGUGGGUGAUCUGCCCUGCACUUCGGGAUAAGCUUGGGAAACUGGGUCUAAUACCGGAUAGGACCACGGUCUGCAUGGAUUGUGGUGGAAAGCUUUUGCGGUGUGGGAUGGGGCCCCGCGGCCUAUCAGCUUGUUGGUGGGGUGAUGGCCUACCAAGGCGACGACGGGUAGCCGGCCUGAGAGGGGUGUCCGGCCACACUGGGACUGAGAUACGGCCCAGACUCCUACGGGAGGCAGCAGUGGGGAAUAUUGCACAAUGGGCGCAAGCCUGAUGCAGCGACGCCGCGUGGGGGAUGACGGCCUUCGGGUUGUAAACCUCUUUCAGCAGGGACGAAGGGUGACUGACGGUACCUGUAGAAGAAGCACCGGCCAACUACGUGCCAGCAGCCGCGGUAAUACGUAGGGUGCGAGCGUUGUCCGGAAUUACUG